rnacentral:tRNA from 1 species
UUUUAUAUAGUUUAUAUUAAAAACAUUAUAUUUUCAAUAUAAAAAAAGUAAUUAAAAUCCAUUUACUUAUAAAAU